rnacentral:lncRNA from 1 species
GGGGAACCAGGGCAGAUUUGCCACGGCAGGAGCAUGCAGUGCUGCCUAUUCACGUCCUGGAAGGCCAAGAUGCAAAGGGAUCAACACUAGGGCUCAGCUCCCUUUCUCAUUUGUCCCUUUUUAUUCAGGCCAGAACCCCGGUCUGUGGGGUGGUGCUGUCCACAGCCAGGGUAGGUGUUUAACUCCUUGGUUAAGCCUGUCUGGAACACCCUCACAGAUGCACACAGAGAUGUGCCCAAUAGACUAACAGAGCUGUACCACUAUUACCCCCUGUCGCGGUAAAUCUCUCCAACCCAAUUAUGUUCUGGCAAUGAAAACACAACACAAUUAAUACGAAUACAUGUUGUGUGCCUAGAUUGGCAGAUCUACCACUACACUAUCAUCUUCCACAUCUAUGAGACCCUUAGAACUUGCAGUUUCUCCAGGCCGUGUGCUUCUGCUCCGCUUUUCUUCUUCCUCCUCCUCUGCCUUCUCUCUGUCUCAAACCUCCUUCUUUUCUUUCUUUCCGUUCCACCUUGCCUCUCUCUGCCCAAUCAUCAGCUCUCCUUUAUUUUACAAAUUAAGGUGGGAAGAAGGUUUACAGGAAAUCACCUGAGUGCUGACUCAUUCCUUGUUCUCAACCCCUCAAAGGAGAACAGAAUUGACAUCAAAUAUAAUUAGCCCCAGGGCUCUCCACAACAACCCCCAAAGAAACGCCAUACCCACUACUGAUCAUUCCGUGUUCUCCCAAAUUCUCCAACCAUACACAACCUAUAAUCUACUCUCUGUCUUCCUGGAUUUACCUAUUCUGGACAUUUUGUAUACAAUGGUUGGUGUUUUGUGACUGGCCUCUUUUAAUUAGUACUAUGUUUCCAUAGUUCAUUUGUUUUAUAACAUACUAGUGCUUGUUUGUGACCAACUUAUAUCUCAUCAUGUGGACAUAGCUCAUUUUGUUUCCCUAUUUGUUACUGAAGAACAUAUGAGUCCUUUCUACAUUUUGUGUGUAGUGGCAGAAGUUGAUACUAGGUGUCUUCUUUUACCGCUCUGUCAUUGGACCUGGGGCUCACUGAUUCGAUAGAGUAGCUGGCCAACAAGCCCCUGGAAUCCUCCUAUCUCUACCUCCCAGCUGUGGAAUUACAAGCUUAGGCUCCCAGCUCCCAUGCCUAGCUUUUUAUAUGGGGGUUGGGGAUCCAAACUCAAGCCCCCAUCUUGCUGACCUAAGUAACUUGCAUAAGGUCACAGCUGAUAAGUAAAACUGGGCUAGCAAUCUAGGAAUGUCAGAGGAUGUACUGGGAAUCUUGAAAGAGUAAACAUGGCAAAAGUUAAGCCUUGGAGAAAGACAUUUCUCACUGACCAGCAGAAAGGACAGAUUCUCAAAAAGACACUGGGAAUAAAGGGGGGCUGCUGUCAGGCCAGUGAUUCUUCUUGAGUCGUCCUAGUUCCUCAGUGGGAGGUACUCACGUUAGUCACAACUCCAGUUGAUGUGUGAGAUGCAGCUGCUCCAAGGUGCCUUCCUGCACCUUAAGUCACCUGGAGCCAACAUCCUAGUUGGUUCUUUGCCACCACCGCCAUCUUACUAUAUCACCCUCAGUUUUGUAUCCUGUCAGGCAUCAAACACACCAGCUGGUCAUCACAGGUAACCAUGGAGACAGCAGGUAUGGCCAGGGUCACCAAAGCUCCUCUUAUUACCCUCUGCCUCAUGUGGUUAUGUCCAUGGGACUAGCAUGUGGCAUCGGUUCCAGUUUCUGCUCAGCAACCACUCAUGUUUCAACUCCUAAUCAGGUUACAAGGCAAAGUCAACAUUAAAGCCCAGAUUUGAGGUGGGUUUGUAUUUCUGCUUCAGGAAUCCUGUAGGGAGUAUUUGUCAGACUUUUAAUCGCUGAAACCAACUUCCCAGGAAGGCAAUUGUGUUAGUCAGCAUUCUCUAGAGAAACAGAACUUACAGAAUGAGUCUCUCUCUCUCUCUCUCUCUCUCUCUCUCUCUCUCUCUCUCUCUCUCUCUCUCUCGAUAUAUUAGAAUGGCUUAUGGGUGGUUCAGUUAGUCUGACAAUGGCUGUCUGUCUACCAAUAGAGGGUUCAAGAAUCCAGUAGUGGUUGUCUCUGCUGGUCUUCAGUACACAACGGAAUCCUGAAGAAGUGGUCUCUAAUGCCAGUGAAAGAAUGGUCUUGCUAGCAAGAGUGAGCAGGAAAAAAUACUUUUUCCUUCUUCUAAGACCUUUAUAUAGGCUUCUAGCAGAAGGUGGCCCCAGAUUAAAGGUGGAUCAUCCCAUAUC